rnacentral:rRNA from 1 species
GUGGGGAAUAUUGGACAAUGGGCGAAAGCCUGAUCCAGCCAUGCCGCGUGUGUGAAGAAGGUCUUCGGAUUGUAAAGCACUUUAAGUUGGGAGGAAGGGCAGUAAGUUAAUACCUUGCUGUUUUGACGUUACCGACAGAAUAAGCACCGGCUAACUUCGUGCCAGCAGCCGCGGUAAUACGAAGGGUGCAAGCGUUAAUCGGAAUUACUGGGCGUAAAGCGCGCGUAGGUGGUUUUGUAAGUUGGAGGUGAAAUCCCCGGGCUCAACCUGGGAACUGCCUCCAAAACUGCAUGACUAGAGUACGGUAGAGGGUAGUGGAAUCUCCUGUGUAGCGGUGAAAUGCGUAGAUAUAGGAAGGAACACCAGUGGCGAAGGCGACUACCUGGACUGAUACUGACACUGAGGUGCGAAAGCGUGGGGAGCAAACAGGAUUAGAAACCCGUGUAGUCC